rnacentral:rRNA from 1 species
GACAGAGGGUGCAAACGUUGCUCGGAAUCACUGGGCGUAAAGGGCGUGUAGGCGGACUUGCAAGUCAGGCGUGAAAUCCCUGGGCUCAACCCAGGAAUUGCACUUGAAACUGCAAGCUUGAGUGUCGGAGAGGAAGUGGAAUUCCUGGUGUAGAGGUGAAAUUCGUAGAUAGUCAGGAGGAACACCGGUGGCGAAGGCGGCUUCUGGACG